UGAGGAAUUUUGCGCAAUGGGGGAAACCCUGACGCAGCAACGCCGCGUGGGUGAUGAAGGCCUUCGGGUCGUAAAGCCCUGUCGGGCGGGAAGAACGUCCCUUCGGGGAAUGACGGUACCGCCAGAGGAAGCACCGGCUAACCCCGUGCCAGCAGCCGCGGUACUACGGAGGGUGCACGCGUUAUUCGGAAUGACUGGGCGUAAAGGGCGUGCAGGCGGGAGAGCAAGUCUGAUGUGAAAGCCCGGGGCUUAAC
rnacentral:rRNA from 1 species